rnacentral:rRNA from 1 species
CCUACGGGUGGCAGCAGUGAGGAAUAUUGGUCAAUGGACGAGAGUCUGAACCAGCCAAGUAGCGUGAAGGAUGACUGCCCUAUGGGUUGUAAACUUCUUUUAUAUGGGAAUAAAAUGUUCCACGUGUGGGAUUUUGUAUGUACCAUAUGAAUAAGGAUCGGCUAACUCCGUGCCAGCAGCCGCGGUAAUACGGAGGAUCCGAGCGGUAUCCGGAUUUAUUGGGUUUAAAGGGAGCGUAGGUGGAUUGUUAAGUCAGUUGUGAAAGUUUGCGGCUCAACCGUAGAAUUGCAGUUGAAACUGGCAGUCUUGAGUGCAGUAGAGGUGAGCGGAAUUCGGGGUGUAGCGGUGAAAUGCUUAGAUAUCACGAAGAACUCCGAUUGCGAAGGCAGUUCACUGGACUGCAACUGACACUGAGGCGCGAAAGUGUGGGUAUCAAACAGGAUUAGAUACCCCAGUAGUC